AGUGAACGCUGGCGGUAGGCCUAACACAUGCAAGUCGAACGGCAGCACAGGAGAGCUUGCUCUCUGGGUGGCGAGUGGCGGACGGGUGAGGAAUACAUCGGAAUCUACUCUGUCGUGGGGGAUAACGUAGGGAAACUUACGCUAAUACCGCAUACGACCUACGGGUGAAAGCAGGGGACCUUCGGGCCUUGCGCGAUUGAAUGAGCCGAUGUCGGAUUAGCUAGUUGGCGGGGUAAAGGCCCACCAAGGCGACGAUCCGUACCUGGUCGGAGAGGAUGAUCAGCCACACUGGAACUGAGACACGGUCCAGACUCCUACGGGAGGCAGCAGUGGGGAAUAUUGAACAAUGGGCGCAAGCCUGAUCCAGCCAUACCGCGUGGGUGAAGAAGGCCUUCGGGUUGUAAAGCCCUUUUGAUGGGAAAGAAAUCCAGCUGGCUAAUACCCGGUUGGGAUGACGGUACCCAAAGAAUAAGCACCGGCUAACUUCGUGCCAGCCGCCGCGGUAA
rnacentral:rRNA from 1 species